GUCCUACGGGAGGCAGCAGUGAGGAAUAUUGGUCAAUGGGAGGAAUCCUGAACCAGCCAUGCCGCGUGCAGGACGACGGCUCUACGAGUUGUAAACUGCUUUUGUACCGGGGUAAAAUGCCUUACGAGUAGGGUUUUGAAAGUACCGCACGAAUAAGCAUCGGCUAACUCCGUGCCAGCAGCCGCGGUAAUACGGGGGAUGCGAGCGUUAUCCGGAUUUAUUGGGUUUAAAGGGUGCGUAGGCGGCGCUUCAGGCCAGCGGUGAAAUACCGGGGCUCAACCCCGGGGCUGCCGUUGAAACCGGAG
rnacentral:rRNA from 1 species